rnacentral:tRNA from 1 species
GUCCGGGCUGGUGCGGGCGUACGCGCUGCGCCGGCUCGCGACCGCCGGUGACGAGCAGGUCGUCCGGGACCGGCACCUGGCCUGGUCGC